rnacentral:rRNA from 1 species
AGCGAACGUUAGCGGCGGGCCUAACACAUGCAAGUCGCACGAGAAAGCGGUUUCGGCCGUAAGUAAAGUGGCGGACGGGUGAGUAACACGUGGGUAAUCUGCCUUUCAGUGGGGGAUAACAGUCCGAAAGGAUUGCUAAUACCGCAUACGUCGGCGAGGACCUUGGUCUUUGUCGGGAAAGCCGGCCACUUCAUGAAAGCUGGCGCUGGAAGAGGAGCCCGCGGCCCAUCAGCUAGUUGGCGAGGUAAAAGCUCACCAAGGCAAAGACGG